GGCCCAGUAGCUCAGGGGAUAGAGCACCGCUCUCCUAAAGCGGGUGUCGCGCGUUCGAUUCGCGCCUGGGCCACCA
rnacentral:tRNA from 1 species